rnacentral:pre_miRNA from 1 species
UUAACUCAAAUUUUACGGAUUUCGAACAGCCUAUGUUUGCCGCUAGGGGCGCUGUUCCAACUACAUAGAAAUUUGAAUUA